rnacentral:rRNA from 1 species
UACAGAGGGUGCGAGCGUUGUUCGGAAUUAUUGGGCGUAAAGCGCUUGUAGGCGGCUUGUUAAGUUCCGUGUGAGAUCCCCAGGCUUAACCUGGGAAGUGCGCGGAAACUGGCGAGCUUGAGUGCCGGAGAGGGUCGCGGAAUUCCCGGUGUAGAGGUGAAAUUCGUAGAUAUCGGGAGGGAACACCAGUGGCGGAAGGCGGCGACCUG